rnacentral:lncRNA from 1 species
CCUAAUGGAUUGCAUGAAAUGCUUUUAGUGAAGGAGUAUUUGCAUAUGUCCCUUUCUUUAGAUUUAGUUUCACUGUGUUCUUUUCAGAGGAGAAGAAAUGGAUUCAAUACAUGAGGAAGAACAGGGAAAGAAUAAAGACUCUGCUGGUAAGAGGCAUAGAGAAUAAGAAUUUGAAAGGGUUGUGUUUUGUUGUUAUUGCUUUCUAAAGCACUAAAACACCCGUAUAUUGCUUCUAUGUCAGCAUCUCCUGCACCAUAGUGAAGAUUUUGAGAAAAUAGGCCAGUGAGAAAAGUGAAGAGGUGCUUCAAAAGAAGAAACCUGAAAAGACAUCAGAUGCUGGCCAAAAGGUAAACAGCAGAUUACAAUUUAAAAUGCAUAAUUUUUUGAAUGUUCAGAUCAGGAGGUGAAAUGCUGUUCUUACUGUAUGUCCCAGUGUCACUGCAUGACUCUCUAAAUUCCACGGAUGGAGCAUUGCCUUCUGCAGUUCCCAGUGUGGCAACGAGGAAAGAAAAAGUGACCCAACACCAAGCAAACAGAGACAACUGCACUGGAACCUACAGUUCAGUGGUACGUUCAG